rnacentral:rRNA from 1 species
GACGAACGCUGGCGGCGUGCUUAACACAUGCAAGUCGAACGGAAAGGCCCUGCUUUUGUGGGGUGCUCGAGUGGCGAACGGGUGAGUAACACGUGAGUAACCUGCCCUUGACUUUGGGAUAACUUCAGGAAACUGGGGCUAAUACCGGAUAGGAGCUCCUGCUGCAUGGUGGGGGUUGGAAAGUUUCGGCGGUUGGGGAUGGACUCGCGGCUUAUCAGCUUGUUGGUGGGGUAGCGGCUUACCAAGGCUUUGACGGGUAGCCGGCCUGAGAGGGUGACCGGCCACACGGGAACUGGGACGGGGUCAAGACUGCUAAGGGAGGCAGGAGGAGGGAAUAUGGGGCAAUGGGCGAAGGACGGACGGAGCGAUGCCGAGUGAGGGAUGAAGGUCUUCGGAUCGGAAAGCUGUGUUAGUAGGGAAGAAAAGAUGGGGAAGUAACGAUGCGCGUAUUGACGGGACGUAAUCAGGAAGCCAAGGCGAAGUACGUG